AACGAUCCAAAUUGAUAAAGUUGUUGGUGAAGGCAUGUACAGUGGUCUUUUCAGCCUCAGCCAGGACAACAAUAAGGAUGGCUCAUCCCAGAGUUUAGAGAUUGAUAUUACCUGGUCCAGUAGGAUGCCUAGUGAUAGUGAGUGAAGGGAAGCAAGACUGAAAUAAUGCAAACUUGAGGACCCAAAGGUGGAGCUAGACCUGGUAAAGAACAGUCUCCUCAUAUUCCAGCCUAAUGCAAGAGCUGCUGCGGGAAGUCCAAGUUUUGUUUGUAUCUAAAUCGUUGCUACCUGUGGUGUAACUGUAAAAUAGUAAGAUAUUUGCAAGGACAAAGAAGUUGAGAGAGGUUCCCGCAGUACAAGGUAAGUCUUACAUCUAGCUUUUAAGCACCAAAUUGUACAGGUUCUGCAGUUCUUAGAAAAUAACAAUAUCAAAUAGAGUUCACGAUAAGAAGGUUGUAAUGUUUAUUUCAAAUCCCACCUGUGUAUUUGUGAUGCAAAGUAGCAGCAAGUGCCAAA
rnacentral:lncRNA from 1 species